rnacentral:rRNA from 1 species
UGGCGGCGUGCUUACACAUGCAAGUCGAGCGGAAAGGCCCUUCGGGGUACUCGAGCGGCGAACGGGUGAGUAACACGUGAGUAACCUGCCCCUGACUCUGGGAUAAGCCUGGGAAACCGGGUCUAAUACCGGAUAUGACACUCCUCCGCAUGGUGUGGGUGUGGAAAGUUUUUUCGGUUGGGGAUGGACUCGCGGCCUAUCAGCUUGUUGGUGGGGUGAUGGCCUACCAAGGCGACGACGGGUAGCCGGCCUGAGAGGGCGACCGGCCACACUGGGACUGAGACACGGCCCAGACUCCUACGGGAGGCAGCAGUGGGGAAUAUUGCGCAAUGGGCGGAAGCCUGACGCAGCGACGCCGCGUGGGGGAUGACGGCCUUCGGGUUGUAAACCUCUUUCAGCAGGGACGAAGUUGACGUGUACCUGUAGAAGAAGCGCCGGCUAACUACGUGCCAGCAGCCGCGGUAAUACGUAGGGCGCGAGCGUUGUCCGGAAUUAUUGGGCGUAAAGAGCUCGUAGGUGGCUUGUUGCGUCUGCCGUGAAAGCCCGUGGCUUAACUACGGGUCUGCGGUGGAUACGGGCAGGCUAGAGGCUGGUAGGGGCAAGCGGAAUUCCUGGUGUAGCGGUGAAAUGCGCAGAUAUCAGGAGGAACACCGGUGGCGAAGGCGGCUUGCUGGGCCAGUUCUGACGCUGAGGAGCGAAACG